AUGACAAGGGUAGAUGACAGUCUGGGCUUUGGGGGAGAACAAGGGUCCCCCUCCUCAGCACUUACCAUCCCCAUGGUCCACAGAGCCCACCUGCAGGACAGAGGUCUGAUGCUGCUGUCUUUACAUGGCAGAGAUGGGUCUGUGCUCUCCCUGCUCCUCCAGGCCCCACAGAGCCCCUCUGUGUCCUCAGUCACCUCAGUGCCAAUCUCAUCCCAGUCACCUCACCCCCAUCUCGUCCCCAGGCACCACAAUGUCCCAACAUGGCCCCAUUCACCUCAUCUCCCCACUAAUUCCACCCCAUUUUGCCCUCAUCACCUCAGUCCCUUCACUCCACCAGAGGUCCAUUAUCACCUCAGUACCCAUCUCAUCCCUGUCACCUCAGCUUUGUGUUUUCCCCACCACCUCAGUGCCCCCAUUUGUCCCACCUCAGCCCCACAAUACCACCAUUAUACCACCAUUAUCCCACCCCCAUCACCUCAGCCCCUCACUACCUCAGCUCCAUCUCAUCACCUCAGUUUCCCCACUCACAUCCUCGCAUUAUUCCCUCCUACCUCAGCUUCAUCCUGUCCCCAUCACCUCAGCCCCUCAUUACCACCAUUAUCCCACCCCCAUCUCCCCCAUCACCUCAGCCCCUCACUACCUCAGCUCCAUCUUAUCACCUCAGUAUACCCACAUUAUUCCCCCCUACCUCAGCUCCAUCCUGUCCCCAUCACCUCAGCCCCUCACCACCUCAGCCCCUCACUACCUCAGCUCCAUCUUGCCACCUCAGCAUCCCCACUCACUUCAUCCCCACAUUACCCCCCUACUUCAUCUCCAUCACCUCAGUCCCAUCACUUUUUCACCCUAAAUCACCUCACUCCCAUCUUAUCCCUAUCUUAUCCCCAUCACCCAUCGCUCCCUUUCCCCUCCCUCCUCACAGCACCUCCCGCCCUCCCUCCUCCCGCCAGAGCGCUAAAACGCCCGCCAACUCUUAGCCCCGCCCCCCCUUCGCUACCAUUGGCUAAUCCUCACAACACCCCCGCCUACUUUUUUGAUCGACAACCUCUAAGCCAAUCAACGGCUCCAUAG
rnacentral:lncRNA from 1 species